rnacentral:rRNA from 1 species
GACGAACGCUGGCGGCGUGCUUAACACAUGCAAGUCGAGCGGUAAGGCCCUUUCGGGGGUACGACGAGCGGCGAACGGGUGAGUAACACGUGGGUGACCUGCCCUUAGCUCUGGGAUAAGCCUGGGAAACUGGGUCUAAUACCGGAUAUGACUCCAUAACGCAUGUUGUGGGGUGGAAAGCCUUGUGCGGCUAGGGAUGGGCCCGCGGCCUAUCAGCUUGUUGGUGGGGUGAUGGCCCACCAAGGCGACGACGGGUAGCCGGCCUGAGAGGGCGACCGGCCACACUGGGACUGAGGACACGGCCCCAGACUCCUACGGGAGGCAGCAGUGGGGAAUCUUGCGCAAUGGGCGAAAGCCUGACGCAGCGACGCCGCGUGGGGA